rnacentral:rRNA from 1 species
GAUAAACGCUGGCGGCGUGCCUAAUACAUGCAAGUCGAGCGAACGGACGAGAAGCUUGCUUCUCUGAUGUUAGCGGCGGACGGGUGAGUAACACGUGGAUAACCUACCUAUAAGACUGGGAUAACUUCGGGAAACCGGAGCUAAUACCGGAUAAUAUUUUGAACCGCAUGGUUCAAAAGUGAAAGACGGUCUUGCUGUCACUUAUAGAUGGAUCCGCGCUGCAUUAGCUAGUUGGUAAGGUAACGGCUUACCAAGGCAACGAUGCAUAGCCGACCUGAGAGGGUGAUCGGCCACACUGGAACUGAGACACGGUCCAGACUCCCACGGGAGGCAGCAGUAGGGAAUCUUCCGCAAUGGGCGAAAGCCUGACGGAGCAACGCCGCGUGAGUGAUGAAGGUCUUCGGAUCGUAAAACUCUGUUAUUAGGGAAGAACAUAUGUGUAAGUAACUGUGCACAUCUUGACGGUACCUAAUCACAAAGCCACGGUUAACUACGUGCCAGCAGCCGCGGUAAUACGUAGGUGGCAAGCGUUAUCCGGAAUUAUUGAGCGUAAAGCGCGCGUACGCGGUUUUUUAAGUCUGAUGUGAAAGCCCCACGGGCUCAACCGUUGGAGGGUCAUUGGAAACUGGAAAACUUGAGUGCAGAAGAGGAAAGUGGAAUUCCAUGUGUAGCGGUGAAAUGCGCAGAGAUAUGGAGGAACACCAGUGGCGAAGGCGACUUUCUGGUCUGUAACUGACGCUGAUGUGCGAAAGCGUGGGGAUCAAACAGGAUUAGAUACCCUGGUAGUCCACGCCGUAAACGAUGAGUGCUAAGUGUUAGGGGGUUUCCGCCCCUUAGUGCUGCAGCUAACGCAUUAAGCACUCCGCCUGGGGAGUACGACCGCAAGGUUGAAACUCAAAGGAAUUGACGGGGACCCGCACAAGCGGUGGAGCAUGUGGUUUAAUUCGAAGCAACGCGAAGAACCUUACCAAAUCUUGACAUCCUUUGACAACUCUAGAGAUAGAGCCUUCCCCUUCGGGGGACAAAGUGACAGGUGGUGCAUGGUUGUCGUCAGCUCGUGUCGUGAGAUGUUGGGUUAAGUCCCGCAACGAGCGCAACCCUUAAGCUUAGUUGCCAUCAUUAAGUUGGGCACUCUAAGUUGACUGCCGGUGACAAACCGGAGGAAGGUGGGGAUGACGUCAAAUCAUCAUGCCCCUUAUGAUUUGGGCUACACACGUGCUACAAUGGACAAUACAAAGGGCAGCGAAACCGCGAGGUCAAGCAAAUCCCAUAAAGUUGUUCUCAGUUCGGAUUGUAGUCUGCAACUCGACUACAUGAAGCUGGAAUCGCUAGUAAUCGUAGAUCAGCAUGCUACGGUGAAUACGUUCCCGGGUCU